rnacentral:rRNA from 1 species
UACGAAGGGGGCUAGCGUUGCUCGGAAUCACUGGGCGUAAAGCGCACGCAGGCGGAUUGAUAAGUCAGGGGUGAAAUCCCGAGGCUCAACCUCGGAAUUGCCUUUGAUACUGUCUAUCUUCGAGUUCGGGAGAGGUUGGCGGAAUUCCUAGUGUAGAGGUGAAAUUCGUAGAUAUUAGGAAGAACACCAGUGGCGAAGGCGGCCAACUGGCCCGAUACUGACGCUCAUGUGCGAAAGCGUGGGGAGCAAACAGG